rnacentral:rRNA from 1 species
CAGUAGCCGCGGUAAAACGGAGGGUGCAAGCGUUAAUCGGAAUUACUGGGCGUAAAGCGUGCGCAGGCGGUUAUAUAAGACAGAUGUGAAAUCCCCGGGCUCAACCUGGGACCUGCAUUUGUGACUGUAUAGCUAGAGUACGGUAGAGGGGGAUGGAAUUCCGCGUGUAGCAGUGAAAUGCGUAGAUAUGCGGAGGAACACCAGUGGCGAAGGCGACUCUCUGGUCUGUAACUGACGCUGAGGUGCGAAAGCGUGGGGAGCAAACAGGAUUAGAUACCCGAGUAGUCCCUGUCUCUUAUAC